UUCUCAAUAGCUCAGUUGGUAAAGCAUGAGACUUUUAAUCUUAAGGUUGUGGGUUCAAGCCACAUGUUGGGCUAAA